UACGUAGGGUGCGAGCGUUAAUCGGAAUUACUGGGCGUAAAGCGUGCGUAGGCGGUUCGUUGUGUCUGUGGUGAAAGCCCCGGGCUUAACCUGGGAAUGGCCAUGGAAACUGGCGAGCUGGAGUGUGGCAGAGGGGGGUGGAAUUCCGCGUGUAGCAGUGAAAUGCGUAGAGAUGCGGAGGGACACCGAUGGCGAAGGCAGCCCCCUGGGCUAACACUGACGCUGAGGCACGAAAGCGUGGGGAGCAAACAGG
rnacentral:rRNA from 1 species